ACGGCUGCGGGCGGCGGCGACACACGUGCCCGCGGCACCGGACAGAACACCGUGUCUCGGAACAUUCGGGGCACUUCUGGGCGUU
rnacentral:sRNA from 21 species